UGGGGAAUAUUGCACAAUGGGCGCAAGCCUGAUGCAGCCAUGCCGCGUGUAUGAAGAAGGCCUUCGGGUUGUAAAGUACUUUCAGUGGGGAGGAAGGGAGUAAAGUUAAUACCUUUGCUCAUUGACGUUACCCGCAGAAGAAGCACCGGCUAACUCCGUGCCAGCAGCCGCGGUAAUACGGAGGGUGCAAGCGUUAAUCGGAAUUACUGGGCGUAAAGCGCACGCAGGCGGUUUGUUAAGUCAGAUGUGAAAUCCCCGGGCUCAACCUGGGAACUGCAUCUGAUACUGGCAAGCUUGAGUCUCGUAGAGGGGGGUAGAAUUCCAGGUGUAGCGGUGAAAUGCGUAGAGAUCUGGAGGAAUACCGGUGGCGAAGGCGGCCCCCUGGACAAAGACUGACGCUCAGGUGCGAAAGCGUGGGGAGCAAACAGG
rnacentral:rRNA from 1 species